AUUGAACGCUGGCGGCAUGCCUUACACAUGCAAGUCGAACGGCAGCACGGGAGCAAUCCUGGUGGCGAGUGGCGAACGGGUGAGUAAUAUAUCGGAACGUGCCCAGUCGUGGGGGAUAACGUAGCGAAAGCUACGCUAAUACCGCAUACGAUCUAUGGAUGAAAGCGGGGGAUCGCAAGACCUCGCGCGAUUGGAGCGGCCGAUAUCAGAUUAGGUAGUUGGUGGGGUAAAGGCUCACCAAGCCAACGAUCUGUAGCUGGUCUGAGAGGACGACCAGCCACACUGGAACUGAGACACGGUCCAGACUCCUACGGGAGGCAGCAGUGGGGAAUUUUGGACAAUGGGCGCAAGCCUGAUCCAGCAAUGCCGCGUGCAGGAUGAAGGCCUUCGGGUUGUAACGUUA
rnacentral:rRNA from 1 species